AUGGCAUCAUUUAGAUAUUAAAACUCCGGUGGAUAAAGAUGAGUGUGCGUCCCAUUAGCUAGUUGGUAGGGUAACGGCCUACCAAGGCAACGAUGGGUAGCUGGUGUGAGAGCACGACCAGCCACACGGGCACUGAGACACGGGCCCGACUCCUACGGGAGGCAGCAGUGAGGAAUAUUGGUCAAUGGACGCAAGUCUGAACCAGCCAUGCCGCGUGAAGGAUGAAGGCCUUCUGGGUUGUAAACUUCUUUUAUUGGGGAAGAAAAUUACGGUUUCUACUGUAACCGACGGUACCCAAGGAAUAAGCACCGGCUAACUCCGUGCCAGCAGCCGCGGUAAUACGGAGGGUGCAAGCGUUAUCCGGAUUCACUGGGUUUAAAGGGUGUGUAGGCGGGCAUUUAAGUCAGUGGUGAAAUCUCCGAGCUCAACUCGGAAACUGCCAUUGAUACUAUUUGUCUUGAAUAUCGUUGAGGUUGGCGGAAUAUAUCAUGUAGCGGUGAAAUGCUUAGAUAUGAUAUAGAACACCGAUUGCGAAGGCAGCUAACUAAGCGAUGAUUGACGCUGAGGCACGAAAGCGUGGGGAUCAAACAGGAUUAGAUACCCUGGUAGUCCACGCCCUAAACGAUGAUUACUCGACAUACGCGAUACACAGUGUGUGUCUGAGCGAAAGCAUUAAGUAAUCCAC
rnacentral:rRNA from 1 species